rnacentral:lncRNA from 1 species
CGUGUCGCGGGCGGUGUUUCCCGGGUCGGCGUCGGGCGGCAACCCGGAACCCGCCAAGAGGCGAUUUUGAAAACCGGGAAAGCCUCUCCCUUUUUUUUUUUCAUCUUCUCUUUCUCGCUGUAGUUUUGCAGACAGCGGUAGCUAGUACUAUGCUUCAGUGUUUAUCUGUGUAUAAUUGAAUAGUACAAGAGGCACUGUUUGCAUGUGCCUGAGUAGGCACCAUUCCAUGUUAAUACACCAACCCAGGACUCAAAUAAUCCUAUGUGUUUAUUUUUAUUUCAAUUCCAAUACAGCAAGGUUCUCAGAGGUUGUAUAGGGCACUUCAUGAAGACUGUUCAAGUGGGUCCGGU